ACGCUCGACACCUACGGGAGGCAGCAGUUGGGAAUAUUGGACAAUGGAGGAAACUCUGAUCCAGUGACGCCGCGUGAAGGAAGAAGGUCUUCGGAUUGUAAACUUAUUUUGUCAGGGAAGAAAAAAUGACUGUACCUGAAGAAAAAGCACCGGCUAACUACGUACCAGCAGCCGCGGUAAUCUGAGCGGGCUGGCAAGGC
rnacentral:rRNA from 1 species